UACGUAGGGGGCAAGCGUUGUCCGGAUUUAUUGGGCGUAAAGAGCUCGUAGGCGGUUCGGUAAGUCGGGUGUGAAACCUCCAGGCUCAACCUGGAGACGCCACCCGAUACUGCUGUGACUGGAGUCCGGUAGGGGAGCGUGGAAUUCCUGGUGUAGCGGUGAAAUGCGCAGAUAUCAGGAGGAACACCAGCGGCGAAGGCGGCGCUCUGGGCCGGUACUGACACUGAGGAGCGAAAGCGUGGGGAGCGAACAGG
rnacentral:rRNA from 1 species